CUUAAGAAAGGAACAACAAGAUCAUGUUUUUAUGAAAAAUAAAUGUAGUAAUAACUACAGCAACACGGUUCUUUCGAAGAUGAAAGAAGCGUAAAGAUCUAGAUUUUCUGUUCGAGAAUAAAAAAGCUCAUGUAAAAAUCUAUAAAAUGACGUUAUAGAUGCUCGAAAUUUAUCAGAAAACCGGCAUUUUCAAUAAAUUACUUCAAGUAACGACCACAAGAAUCCAUAAAAUUUCUACUGUUUUGGAAUAAAAAAAAAAAGAAAAAACGCAUGUAAAGUCUAUAAAAUCGCAUGAAUAUGCUGAAAAUUUACAUAUAAUUUGUAAAUUCACAUAAAAAAUUGUACAUUUUUGGGUAAAUUACUUGAAGAAUCCAUAAAAGACUACAAGAAUCCAUAAAAUUUCUACUGUUCUGGAAUAAAGAUAAAACGCAUAUAAAUUUUGUAAAGUCACAUGAUUAUGCUGGAAAU